rnacentral:rRNA from 1 species
UACAGAGACUGCAAGCGUUAUUCGGAUUCACUGGGCGUAAAGGGUGCGCAGGCGGCCGAGUGUGUGAGGCGUGAAAGCCUGGGGCUUAACCCCAGAAUUGCACCUCAAACUAUUCGGCUAGAGCAUUGGAGAGGGUAGCAGAAUUCAUGGUGUAGCAGUGAAAUGCGUAGAUAUCAUGAGGAAUACCAGAGGCGAAGGCGGCUACCUGGACAAUUGCUGACGCUCAGGCACGAAAGCGUGGGGAGCAAACAGG